AGGCGAGGAUUUUUGACGUACCAAAUUAACGUGCUUUAAUUUAGCGGCACUUAACACUUCAAAUUGCGGCAGUAUUAUCAUGUCUUGGUAACUGGAUAAUGAAUUAACCAAGUUCAUGAUGAAAAAAAAAGUGCGCUUUUGUGGUAAUUUUAUUCGAGAACAAGGAGAAGAAGAUCGCCAUUUUUUGUACAAGUGCGGAGACAAGUCUACCAACCGUACAAGGAACGUGAUUUAGAAUGACGAGAAGGCAUUGCCAAGAGACUGUAUAAACAAUACCAUAGCAACAAACCGGAAGGCUAAAUCAUGGACUGUAUUUUUCUUAGUUGUUUGGCUCUUAAACAUAACUUUUCUCAAGAAACGAAUUAACUUUAUUGUUUAAAGGACAAGGAGACAGUUUACCUUUCCAUGCUCAUUAUUCUCUAUUACUCGAUCCUAUAAACCAGUAAAAACACUGUACGAAAGUAGACAGCUUGCAGCUUACAUUUUUUGUUUAGCGUUUCCUCAGAAAUGAAUACUGUUUCACUCUUAUUUUGUUUUUGUUUUUCAUUAUUUUUGUAAGUUCAUAUUUCCAAAUUUGUGGUUCGAGUUGUUCGUAAUAAAUAAGAAUUUGUGUCUUUUAGUUUUAGUUUAUUAGUUUAUUUAGUUUAUUCUUCAUUGUUAUAUGUUGUAUUUCAUUGAACACCAAAGAAGUUGCAGUCGAAAUGUUGAUUACUUUUCCACACUUGUAUGGAAAAAGGUUCACUGUUUCGAAUUAACUUUUAGUUUCUGCAUUUUCAUAUGCUAAAUAUGCUGAUGUCUAAAGUAAAUUAACACUCACUUUAUGAGGGUCAAUGUGUUUAAAGACAAAAAUUAUAUCUUUGUAACGCCUACCGAACGAACUAUCUAAAUGGAUUUCUUUGAUAUGUCCGGUUUUACAUAUUUUUAGUCAAUUAACCCAACAAUGAACAAUUUUCAGAAUAUGUAAUUUUAUGCGAUAUUCCGUUUCGAGUCUGUUGUGUAAAGAAUGACAUCAUAUGAAUGAAUAAACGCCUCGAUUACG